AGAGUUUGAUCCUGGCUCAGGACGAACGCUGGCGGCGUGCCUAAUACAUGCAAGUAGAACGCACAGUUUAUACCGUAGCUUGCUACACCAUAGACUGUGAGUUGCGAACGGGUGAGUAACGCGUAGGUAACCUGCCUGGUAGCGGGGGAUAACUAUUGGAAACGAUAGCUAAUACCGCAUAAUAUUAAUUAUUGCAUGAUAAUUGAUUAAAAGGUGCAAUUGCACCACUACCAGAUGGACCUGCGUUGUAUUAGCUAGUAGGUGAGGUAACGGCUCACCUAGGCGACGAUACAUAGCCGACCUGAGAGGGUGAUCGGCCACACUGGGACUGAGACACGGCCCAGACUCCUACGGGAGGCAGCAGUAGGGAAUCUUCGGCAAUGGACGAAAGUCUGACCGAGCAACGCCGCGUGAGUGAAGAAGGUUUUCGGAUCGUAAAGCUCUGUUGUAAGAGAAGAACGGGUGUGAGAGUGGAAAGUUCACACUGUGACGGUAUCUUACCAGAAAGGGACGGCUAACUACGUGCCAGCAGCCGCGGU
rnacentral:rRNA from 1 species